rnacentral:lncRNA from 1 species
UUGUCGAUCUAUUUUCUAGGAAUUCCUAAAAUAGUCAUUUCGCCUAUAUUUGUACCGUUAACAAUCGGAUAUGAAAUAGUGGCAAUGAAUACUAUUAUCAUUCCCGAAUCCAUAUUAAUAUCCUCCUCUCACUACAAUCUGCUUUCUUUAUGUUGACGUAUAUUGGUUGCUCCACGACCAGCAACAAUAAUUCUAGUAAAAAGAUUCUGUUAAUCUCCGAACUCUGAUCUACACGGAUUUUUUUUUAAGGGGUGGGGGAUUUACUGCAUGUUAAUUCGAAAGAUCACUGUUGCACAAAAUGAUGUUCUUGACAUGGUUCAUUGAGGUUAAGACUCCUGUACCGAGUGAGUAGUGGUCACUUUUCCUCCAAAGUUUUCGGUGGCGCUUUUUUAGUAUAAACGGUCACGUGGUUCUCGAAAAAGGGAAGCCCUUUGGGCUUCUUCGCUCACUUUACGUCAAGCAACACACACACACCCAACACACUACUGAUGAUAAUGCACACUUUAUGUCCAGCAGUCGGUUGAAUGAGUACAUUCUUAAAACCUCGUAGUGAGUCCACCGAUGGAUUGUAAGGCUUCUUACCCAACCCCAUUCCUCAGAGCUGAUGUUUCCUUGUUCACCAUUUCUUUCACUUUUACUUAUCUUCAGUCGUCCUUUCUUUGUCUACAGACAUAGAUGUGAGUAUGGAGUCUACUUCACAAGUAGGAAGCGUUCUUCCUUAGCUUACAUGAGAGGAUUCAACACGGAGGGAAUUCUUUUCACAGGAGAGCAUGCAAUAGCUGAAAGAAGAGUUUGAUCAUUCAUUCACCGCUCUAUUUCAUUGACGAUUAACCGAGCAUUCAGUCCUUAAACAAGAAUUCAUGGAUAUAUGAAGCUAUCUAUCACAAUGAAAACGCAAUUGCUGGUGUAAGUAUCAUAAGAGUAAGUAUUUUUUUCUGACAUAACAUUUUUCUUUUCAAUUUCAUUAAUCAAUUCUGGCCGGAAAAAAAAUGUUUACCUAUUUAGGAAAGUGAUGCGGUAUAGCGGUUGCAUUUCACAACGUUAUCAGCAACCACAAAUGAGUUUGAUUGUAUUUCAACUUUUCUGAUUAUCAUGAUUAUUGAAUUUGAUUUUAAAAAAUUCUAAUUUAUUUAAACAAAAAAGAUCACGAUCAGUUAUUAUUGAACACUUAAUAGUUUUCCAAAACAGAUUGAAGAAGUAUAAUACAAAGUGAUUUGUACAUUUCAGUUAUUACAAAACCACGUUUGAUUUGCUAAUUUAUUUAUUUACUUAGUCGCCUCUAUUCAGGUGUUGAAUAUUGAUAAACAUUGUUAAUGUUUUUGGAUGUAGUCUUUCAUUUGAAAUAUGUUAUUCGAAAUAUUUUUUAUCUCGUGGGAUAAUGCUUAAAAUCGGACAUAAUAUGACCCGACUGAUUCAACAAUUGGUUUGUGAUAUUGGUUUUAAAUCAGCACAUGAACCUCAUACCAAGUUUAGUUUAAAAAAAUUACCCCUUUUCGAAAUAACAGUUAAGAUAUUCAUAUAAGCAACAUUUUUUAAAUCUUAAAACAUUGAUUAAAUGAAUGCAUGCAAUUUACUACAUUCACAUUGUAAUGUUUACCCGGCUUGCUGUUUGUGAAUAUUUGUAGAUGUGUUUGUUUGAAAAGUGUGGAGUUUAUAUAAUUAUGUACAUAAAAUUUGUUGUGUGCAAUAAUGCUUUGCUUUGCUGACUCUUAGUGAUACUUCUAUCAUGUGCUGUCAUUGUAGAAAUAUUAUUUUUAUAUGCUAUUUAUGGAUUAAAUGGCAAAAAUACUCAUUAUUUUCACAUCGAAUUUUUCCAAAUCUUGGCUAUUUUGCUCACGUCCCCAAUAUAUCAGAUAUUGUAACAGUACAUGGGAAAAUUAAAAAGAGAAUAUUUGUUCCGGUUUGACUAACAAUCGAUGGUGAGUUUAAUAUUAAAUGUGGCAGUCUUAUCAAAUAAUUAUUAUCUGGGAUUCGGGCAAGAUAUCAGAAAUUAUUUAGUUUAUCCGUCAUUCUUAAACGCUUUUCCUUUGGGUCUUAGUAUUUUGAGGUAUUUUAAGUUACAUUUCUUAUUGAUAAUAAUACAAUAAUAACAACCCGUGCUUUUGCAUUGUUUAUAAUUUCCCAUCUUUCUGGUAAGUUAUCCUGAUCAGAGCAAUCAUUUUCUGUAUUCAUACCACG